CAGCCGCCGCGGUAAUACGUAGGUGGCAAGCGUCGUCCGGAAUUAUUGGGCGUAAAGGGCUCGCAGGCGGUUUCUUAAGUCUGAUGUGAAGGCCCCCGGCUCAACCGGGGAGGGUCAUUGGAAACUGGGAAACUUGAGUGCAGAAGAGGAGAGUGGAAUUCCACGUGUAGCGGUGAAAUGCGUAGAGAUGUGGAGGAACACCAGUGGCGAAGGCGACUCUCUGGUCUGUAACUGACGCUGAGGAGCGAAAGCGUGGGGAGCGAACAGGAUUAGAUACCCCGGUAGUCCCUGUCUCUUAUAC
rnacentral:rRNA from 1 species